AAAUUGAAGAGUUUGAUCAUGGCUCAGAUUGAACGCUGGCGGCAGGCCUAACACAUGCAAGUCGAACGGUAACAGGAAGCAGCUUGCUGCUUUGCUGACGAGUGGCGGACGGGUGAGUAAUGUCUGGGAAACUGCCUGAUGGAGGGGGAUAACUACUGGAAACGGUGGCUAAUACCGCAUAACGUCGCAAGACCAAAGAGGGGAACCUUCGGGCCUCUUGCCAUCAGAUGUGCCCAGAUGGGAUUAGCUAGUUGGUGAGGUAACGGCUCACCAAGGCGACGAUCCCUAGCUGGUCUGAGAGGAUGACCAGCCACACUGGAACUGAGACACGGUCCAGACUCCUACGGGAGGCAGCAGUGGGGAAUAUUGCACAAUGGGCGCAAGCCUGAUGCAGCCAUGCCGCGUGUAUGAAGAAGGCCUU
rnacentral:rRNA from 2 species